rnacentral:rRNA from 1 species
CCUAGGGGAGGCAGCAGUGGGGAAUAUUGCACAAUGGGGGGAACCCUGAUGCAGCAACGCCGCGUGGGUGAAGAAGUACUUCGGUAUGUAAAGCUCUGUCAGCAGGGAAGAAAAUGACGGUACCUGACCAAGAAGCCCCGGCUAACUACGUGCCAGCAGCCGCGGUAAUACGAAGGGGGCAGGCGUUAUCCGGAUUUACUGGGGGUAAAGGGAGCGUUGACGGUAAGGCAAGUCUGGAGUGAAAGCCCGUGGCUCAAGCACUGGACUGCUUUGGAAACUGUGUUGCUGGAGUGCAGGAGGGGUAAGCGGAAUGCCUGGUGUAGCGGUGAAAUGCGUAGAUAUUAGGAGGAACACCGGUGGCGAAGGCGGCUUACGGGACUGUAACUGACGUUGAGGCUCGAAGGCGUGGGGAGCAAACAGGAUUAGAUACCCGGGUAGUC